rnacentral:rRNA from 1 species
GGGGCUUAACCCCAGACCUGCAUUCGAUACGGGCGAGCUAGAGUGUGGUAGGGGAGACUGGAAUUCCUGGUGUAGCGGUGGAAUGCGCAGAUAUCAGGAGGAACACCAAUGGCGAAGGCAGGUCUCUGGGCCAUUACUGACACUGAGGAGCGAAAGCGUGGGGAGCGAACAGGAUUAGAUACCCUGGUAGUCCACGCCGUAAACGGUGGGCACUAGUUGUGGGAACCUUCCACGGUUUCUGCGACGCAGCUAACGCAUUAAGUGCCCCGCCUGGGGAGUACGAUCGCAAGAUUAAAACUCAAAGGAAUUGACGGGGCCCCGCACAAGCAGCGGAGCAUGCGGCUUAAUUCGACGCAACGCGAAGAACCUUACCAAGGCUUGACAUAUACAGGAAUAUGGCAGAAAUUCCAUAGCCGCAAGGUCUGUAUACAGGUGGUGCAUGGUUGUCGUCAGCUCGUGUCGUGAGAUGUUGGGUUAAGUCCCGCAACGAGCGCAACCCUCGUUCUGUGUUGCCAGCAUUUAGUUGGGGACUCACAGGAGACUGCCGGGGUUAACUCGGAGGAAGGUGGGGAUGACGUCAAAUCAUCAUGCCCCUUAUGUCUUGGGCUGCACGCAUGCUACAAUGGCUGGUACAAACGGCUGCGAUACCGCAAGGUGGAGCGAAUCCGAUAAAGCCAGUCUCAGUUCGGAUUGGGGUCUGCAACUCGACCCCAUGA